CAUAGAGCAUGCGAAGGAGAGAGCUACUCGCGUGGUAUGUGUGUACAUAACACUGGCAUCUCAGUCGAGCACUGGAGCUCUAUCGGGACGUAUCGGGCGCUAUCUAUACCAAGCUAGCUCGCUAUCUACCAGAGCUUCUAUAGGCCUUCUCAACAUCACUUAGUUAUUAUCUUGUCAGUCAGGUGGUGAAAGUGGACGUCCGCAGACGACGUCUCUGACCGUUUGUUCGCUUGAAUCUCGCUGUCUGACCAUCUCUUCAGUGCUUUAAACCAAGGGAAAGGAUAAAAACAAGAACAGAAGGAAAAGAUGAGUUCCAUAGCUUGGUGACUUCAAAUAACCAGGAAUUGAUGAUCGGUGCAUACUGGAAAACAAAGCAUUGUUUUAAUAUUCAAAUCAUAAAUAGCUAAUAAGCUUGGAAGGAAGCCCCUCAUAUGAAUAGAGAAUCAAAGCUAAAUUGAUCUGAUCAGCUGUCUUUUCUCAAGUGAUGGAUUUUUCUCUUAACUACUUCUUGUGGAGUGCUUGUGGAAUUCAAGAAGAAUUGUGAUUUUCUUCCAUCUUCAUCGUUUACGCAACUUUUUGUUUCUCGGCCAGCCAGCCUCAUGGACUAAUGUAAGGGAUUAUUAUAGUUGAGGAAAUCACCAUGGAGAUUCGAGGAGGAUACCAAGUCAUGAUGAUGAUAUUAUGGAUAGUAACAUCAUCGAGUGGAAGUAACACCCAAGGUAGGCUUAUAAUAUUCCUUUUUAUCCUCCUCCCUCUAAUUUCCCAUACCGGAGCUAGCUAGCUACCUAGCAAUCUAUUUAUCCCCCUCCCCUAAGGCAAGUUCCUCUUCCUUUUUCGCUCCACCUACUACAAGCUUUUCCGCAUUUAGAGAGAUCUUGGCUCGUUUUCGCCUCAAGAACACCGGUGGAAACUGUGCAUAAAUUUAAAUAGAUAAGGCUAUAGAGGGAUUAUAUCCCCACUAUGUAAGCCAUAUAUUGCCAAUUAGCUCCAAUGUAGCGUAUAAUAGCGAGUGUCUACAGCUUAGUGUGGCAAGGACACAACUCCAUUCAUCAUGUCAAUUAUUUUCAUAGCAGUAUAUUCUCUAUCAGUGAUAGUCAUACUCGUAAAUGUAGCUCUGUCAUUUUGCACUAUUCUGCCCACAUUUCAUGACAUUGUAAACUUUGUUCAAGCUUUCUAGACUUUAUAUCCUCCUUGAUUCCAUGAAAUUGUUGUUUGUGUAGCUGAAAUAUAGCUGUACUGAAACUUUUAUUCCUGUUGUCUUUAACAGUGACUAUCUUGCCAUUACUUGUAUUUAAAAUCUUAGAAUAAUUUUGCUUUGCUUUUUAGCACAACUUAAUUUCCUGUAAGAUGAAAGAGGAAUUUAGGAAAACCAGUCUGGUUUGCAUCAUACAACAUAGAAUAGUUAUUAUAUGAAUGCUGUUUGACGUCAUAAUGUACUUUUUAAAUGACUUAUCUUUCCAUGCUAAAUAGAUUCAGGCAACAGUAUAAUGCCAACUUAAUGACUUCCCUUACAUUCAAAUAGCAAUUUAUCUUUUAAAAUUGUUUUUGUUGUAAAAGCAUCAACCCUGUAUCUACUAUAGGCUAGAGGCACAACGAAUAAAGAAAGAUUGAAAACAUAAAGGCUGAGUAAGAAAGAAAGAGAGAGAGAGUAUUAGAGAGAUAGCUACAAAGAAGAAUAAAGGUUGGGUUUAAAAAGUUAGUGAAUAAGAAGUCAAUUUAAUGGCUCAACAAUUGCCAAUUAAGAUUGACAUAGUCAAUGGGAUUAUAGAGAUUAGUAAGGGAUUAUGUAGUUUACUAAGCCUCUUACAGUAAUGCUGGCUUCCAUUAAACUCUCUUUAGGAAGACUUUCAUUGAACCACAUUCUGUUUUUGAGUUUUGACUGGUGAAGAUAUGUUAACUAAUAUCUUCUUUUAUUUGAAUGGUUAGCCUUGCCAAAUCUCCUCAUUACCUUUUCACCUGCCAUAAUAUGAUCUCUUCAAAAGCUUGUAUCAGUUACACACGGCACAGGAAGUAUACAACCCCUUUAUAUGUGUCACCAAGUUUGCAAACAUUUGGCAAAUAAAAAGUUUAUUAAAAAAAAGACAAUAAUAAUCUUAUUUAAUUUUCUCAGUGUUAAAUCAUGAAUAAAAUGCUUUGUGUAGGUAAAGCUAUACUUCAUGAUGCAUGUACAUGAACCUGUUUUUUCUUUUCUUUUUUAGGGAGAAUUAUGUAUUCAUUAUUACUCCAAACUGAGAGUACAGCAUUUGAUUUGCCACCCCCAGAACCAAAGGGAGAAAAAAAUGUUUCAUGAACUAAUUUAGAAUUCCCAUUAUAAUCAAUACUUGAACGAGCAAACUAAGAAAUCUCACUCACAAAUGCUCGAAAAAGCAAUAGUGUCAUGAUGGUUUUGAUAUUACGAUAAAAAAACGAAGAAAUGUCUUCAUCAGAAAUUCAGAUUCUUGGUCCGCUCGUAAACACGUAUGCCCUUUUCCUGCUCCUUCCGAAUCUCUGCGAUAUUAUUGAUUUUUUUUUUGUGGCAAUGUAUUCCAAGUAUAUCGUAUGUUUCUGAGAUGCGGGCAAUGUAAGGUUAACAUUGCGUUGGCAGCGGUAGCAGAGAGGGUAAAAAAUCUGACUUAAACUGAGCUCUACGUUUCAUUGAUCGAGAUGACAUUGAUUAGUGCCAAAAUUAAUUUCUUCUCUCUCCAACUCUCUCCUUCCCUUUCUCUCUCUGUACGAGGCCUACUUGUUGAAGAGCGCUACAAUGUGAAUAUGAUUAGUCCAUUUUUUAAACUAUAUGGUGUGCAUUGAGAUAUAGACUGCUAACCACUGAGAGGUGGUAAAUGUAAGAUUUCUAUUUCUCGUCUUUUUUAAACUUCUAUUGAUUAGGCCUUCUGGAUCUAACAAUACAGAAGAAUAAUCUUUAAGUGUAAAAGAAAAAAAAGAUAUGUUAUAUAUAUAAAUAAAAAGCCUUUGGUAUUUAUACUUUGUGUGUUGAGGGCCAGAAGUACAAUAUAUGUUAUGUAUGUUUUAAAAAGUGCUCCGUAGAUGAUACCAAAAUGCAUUGCAAACAAGAAAUCUGUUCAUUAGUUGAAGAGUAAUACAUGCAUGUAGUCCUUUA